ensembl:lncRNA
AAAAAUUAAAUUUAUUUAUUUAUUUGAGACAGGGUCUCACUCUGUAGUUCAGGCUGGCCUUGAACUCACUAUGUAGCCCAGGCUGGCCUCAAACUCAUGAUGAUCUUCCUGCCUUAACCUCCCAGAGUUCUGAGAUUACAGGGAUGACUAGCCCCCAAAAAACCAAAUAUCAGUGUUAACCAUCAAAAUGCCUCCCUCACAGAAUUCCAGGAUGCCCAAUAUCAUGAGUUUGCCAUGGAAGAUAAAAUCAUAUUCACACUAUGCAAAUUUCGAAGAUGGAGAUUGAAACCAGAGCCUUCCCACUAAAUUACAUCGCCAGAUCUUUUUUUUUUACUUUUUAUUUUGAAACAAAGUCUCACUAAGUUGCCUAUCCUGGGCUUGAAUUUGCUAUCCCCCUGCCUCGGCCUCCCAGGGUGUUGGGAUUCCAGGUGUGUGCCAUCAUGUCUGGCUCAUGAACUUGUCCUUGAAGGUAAACCCUUAUCCACAGAAUGCAUUUACACCAUUAUUAACUUUCCUUUCUUCAAGACUGAAAGGCAGCUCCAGCAGAUGGUGGACUGUCAUGUGUACAAUCCCGCCCCCCCCAAGAUAUGUUGAAGUCCUAGUUCCCGGACCUCAGGAUGUGACCUGUUUGGAAGCAGGGUUGUUGCAGAGCAGAUCUGUGGAGAAGCUCUUUGAACACCACCACCAUCAAUACAGAACACCUAGAGGGCAAAAAGGAAGUCUAAGGAAUUGCGAAGCUCUUCAGACUCCACCAACCAAGGCAUCUCUUCACCUCCUCGGACUCACACUCCCCUCUGACUUCAGAUCUUGGUUUUAUUCCCUUGUUCUCUUUUCUCAUCCUGAAUCAGUUCCACAUUGAACAUUCUACUCAGCAAAUCAUUCAAGUCGUCUUCCACAAACAAGACGGGUGAAAAGCAAUUCUGACCUCACCCAGACACUGGCCUCUGAAAAAAUCUUGCUUCCAGCUCUGCGGAGCCUACCAUCCUUUCCCAGCUGUUGGAACAUUAAGGCAGUGUAGGUCUGUCUGGAACAAGAGGAUGAGUGAAUAAAGUUUAUCUCUACUAAUGUCUAAUUCGUUUUUUCUCCUUGGGUUCACUGGAUUUUUCAAGUUGUCUGUCAAACCCUUCUGUGGCUCUUCAUACAUGGAAGACACUGCAGCAAUACUUGACGAAUGGCUCAUUUAAUGUUCAGCGCGGAAAAAUCUUCUGUGAGAUACAUAUGAAGAGGCUAAGUAGGUUUGCCAAGGCAACACAGCUGGAAAGUGGCUGCGCUGUGACUCGUGAGCUCUCAUAAGCCAGGCUGUCUGGGUGAGUCUUUGCUCUCUGUGUACCACAGCUUUUACCACCCCCACCCCACCCCCAUACACACUGGGUGGCUUAGCGAACGAGAAUAAUAAGAGAGGGAAGUUUUCAUAUGACCUUGUGGCUCCUGUCUUUUUCUGUCUCGGAAAUGGGUAUAAGCAUUGCAGCUGGAUCCUGAAGGUUGUAGGGAGGCAACUCGUAGUGACACAAGCUGGCCGCCUGAGGGGGCGCUGGCCCUGAGGGCGGAGCGAGCCUGUAAGCAGCUGUCUGGCUCGGACGCCGAGGACAAGACGCGGGGAACAGCAUCGCAGAAGGCCGAGAACAAAGCCUUUCAGAGCACAGGACAAAGGCCCUGGAGCCGCAGACUGGUGGAGCGCACAGCCUCACAGCACCUGGGAGACAAAAGCAGUUUAGA